GGCUGUCAACAUCCGCUCCCUUUAACUAGAAGCUGCGUCAUACACACGGAGCAUUUGGGAGACCACGAUGUCGUCUUCCUUCUGUCAGGAGGAUCCAAGUGAAGCUACAGGAGUAUGAUGAAGAGCAAGAAGGGCAGCCUGGAGAGAAAGAGGAGCCGGGUUGAGCCCACUACUCUCAUCCACGUACCACGAGGAAGAUGAGGGAGAGAAAUUAUCCUACCAUUAAAGAGACUGUGCAAAGAAUGUUGAGAACAUCACCACUCUACAGGAAUACACAGUCCAGUAAUGUGUGUCAGAAGUUCAGUAGUGAACGACAGGUAGUACUGACGCAUUUACGGAGAUGGGACAUGAGGGCCUUGUCUGCGUGCCCAAGAGAAGAUUCCACAGAGUUCAAGCUGAGCAGGCUGCAGCAGGUUUGGAGGAAUCCUCCUCUGAAGAGGAAACAUGGCGAGGUUCUUCUCCACUGAUGAAGAAAUAUCUUCUCAAGAGAAGCUGCCUCAGCUCCACGGUCCCUCCUGCAGCCUCCACUCCUGAUGCUAACCCCCGGUCUCCAUCACACCAUCCGGGCAGACCUGGAGUCACAGAACUUUGUCCAGAGCUGCCGUCUGAGAAUUGUUGAUCAUAUAAUUUUCAGCAGAUGCCUUAAUGUAAUGUUUGUGGACAAUAAAUGACAUUGAUCAUAA